rnacentral:misc_RNA from 1 species
GUGAAGAACGUAGCGAAAUGCGAUAAGUAAUGUGAAUUGCAGAAUUCAGUGAAUCAUCGAAUCUUUGAACGCAUCUUGCGCUCCUUGGUAUUCUGAGGAGCAUGCCUGUUUGAGUGUCAUUAAAUUCUCAACUACACUGACUUUGAAUUGGUGUGGCUUGGAUUUGGGGGGAAAAUUGUUGUGGGCUUUUUGUAUAGUCUGCUCCCCUGAAAUUGAUUAGCGGUACCUUUGUGGAACUGUCUACAGGUGUGAUAAUUAUCUACAUCUUAGACAUCUGCUGGAAUGCUGCUUUCUAAACCUUACUUGUAUUGACAAUCUUGACCUCAAAUCAGGUAGGACUACCCGCUGAACUUAAGCAUAUCAAUAAGCGGAGGA